rnacentral:rRNA from 1 species
AUGUCAUAUAGGAGCAACAACCCCGAGAUCUCAUCGUUUGUCUCUAGUUAUCCAUUGCAGAGAUUUAGGUAUGAAGAGGAGAGCCACAACUAUGCUCCACAACAGAUUUAUUCAGCUCCUACCCAUAUACCUCAACACCAGGACAUGUUCCCAAUUGAGUUAAAUGGUCAUCCAUUUGGUCAACCAACAUCUUCAACACUAGUGCCCACACAAGAUGACUUUGAUGAUAUAGACAAGCUCACAUUGCUUAGUCUCGAGUUCACUUGGAGUGCCGAAGAUGAUCCAAUUAGGCCGGUGAUACUAGAGGAAAUGAAGAAGAUUAAGAGUGGAAAGGAGCUAGUGGAAGAAGUAAGGAAGAUUGAGAAGAACAUCAACGCUGUCAGUACUAUCUCUUCCCUCCUUGAGCUGAGUGUUGCCGGGAUAUCCCUUGAGGUGUGUGAGGUUCCAACACCUUCACAUUCAGCUGAGCAAGAUAGUGAGAGUCCAGAGGAAGAGAUACUUCAGAUCCAAGAAGAAAUUCUCGAAGCCAAGGCACAAGAUGAUCCAGACCUCGAACAACAAAGUGAUCAAGGUGAAGACUCAUCAUCUAUUACUCUUGAAGAAGCAAAAGAAGUUGAUGUGAUUGAAGAUGAAGAACUAGAAACGCAUUUGCCCAUCGUCAUACAGGAGCGUGAUUUAGCAGGUUUAUCCAAUCCUCUUGAUGACAUGCUUCCUUAUGAGAUCUUUGCUGCUACUUUCCAUUGUGUUAUACCAUCAAUUAAGCUAGACUUGAAAAAUUAUUUGCUUGGACAUGAUCAUACAUACAUUGUUGGUGGCAUUGCUCUCAUUCCUGAUUAUGACACUUAUUUUCCUUAUGCUAGUCCUAUGCUUAAUGAAACAUAUUAUUCCCAUGCUAGUCUUGAGCUUAAUGAUAAAUUUCAUCCUCACGUUAGUGUCGACCUUGCUGAUUUCUACCAUCCUAAACAUGUGCUUUAUAGCUAUGCUUAUGUAAUUGGUUAUUCGAUUGAUGACUUGGAGGGUAUUAUCCCUACCACUUGA